UGAGGAAUAUUGGGCAAUGGGGGCAACCCUGACCCAGCCAUGCCGCGUGAGUGAAGAAGGUCUUCGGAUUGUAAAGCUCUUUCGGACGUGACGAUGAUGACGGUAGCGUCUAAAGAAGCACCGGCAAACUUCGUGCCAGCAGCCGCGGUAAUACGAAGGGUGCGAGCGUUGUUCGGAAUUACUGGGCGUAAAGGGAGUGUAGGCGGAUAUGUAAGAUAGCGGUGAAAUGCCGGGGCUCAACCCCGGAACUGCCAUUAUGACUAUGUAUCUAGAGUAAUGGAGAGGAUAGCGGAAUACCCAGUG
rnacentral:rRNA from 1 species